rnacentral:rRNA from 1 species
CUGUGAGCUCGAUGAGUAGGGCGGGACACGUGGUAUCCUGUCUGAAUAUGGGGGGACCAUCCUCCAAGGCUAAAUACUCCUGACUGACCGAUAGUGAACCAGUACCGUGAGGGAAAGGCGAAAAGAACCCCGGCGAGGGGAGUGAAAAAGAACCUGAAACCGUGUACGUACAAGCAGUGGGAGCACGCUUAGGCGUGUGACUGCGUACCUUUUGUAUAAUGGGUCAGCGACUUAUAUUCUGUAGCAAGGUUAACCGAAUAGGGGAGCCGAAGGGAAACCGAGUCUUAACUGGGCGUUAAGUUGCAGGGUAUAGACCCGAAACCCGGUGAUCUAGCCAUGGGCAGGUUGAAGGUUGGGUAACACUAACUGGAGGACCGAACCGACUAAUGUUGAAAAAUUAGCGGAUGACUUGUGGCUGGGGGUGAAAGGCCAAUCAAACCGGGAGAUAGCUGGUUCUCCCCGAAAGCUAUUUAGGUAGCGCCUCGUGAAUUCAUCUCCGGGGGUAGAGCACUGUUUCGGCAAGGGGGUCAUCCCGACUUACCAACCCGAUGCAAACUGCGAAUACCGGAGAAUGUUAUCACGGGAGACACACGGCGGGUGCUAACGUCCGUCGUGAAGAGGGAAACAACCCAGACCGCCAGCUAAGGUCCCAAAGUCAUGGUUAAGUGGGAAACGAUGUGGGAAGGCCCAGACAGCCAGGAUGUUGGCUUAGAAGCAGCCAUCAUUUAAAGAAAGCGUAAUAGCUCACUGGUCGAGUCGGCCUGCGCGGAAGAUGUAACGGGGCUAAACCAUGCACCGAAGCUGCGGCAGCGACGCUGAUGCGUUGUUGGGUAGGGGAGCGUUCUGUAAGCCUGUGAAGGUGUGCUGUGAGGCAUGCUGGAGGUAUCAGAAGUGCGAAUGCUGACAUAAGUAACGAUAAAGCGGGUGAAAAGCCCGCUCGCCGGAAGACCAAGGGUUCCUGUCCAACGUUAAUCGGGGCAGGGUGAGUCGACCCCUAAGGCGAGGCCGAAAGGCGUAGUCGAUGGGAAACAGGUUAAUAUUCCUGUACUUGGUGUUACUGCGAAGGGGGGACGGAGAAGGCUAUGUUGGCCGGGCGACGGUUGUCCCGGUUUAAGCGUGUAGGCUGGUUUUCCAGGCAAAUCCGGAAAAUCAAGGCUGAGGCGUGAUGACGAGGCACUACGGUGCUGAAGCAACAAAUGCCCUGCUUCCAGGAAAAGCCUCUAAGCAUCAGGUAACAUCAAAUCGUACCCCAAACCGACACAGGUGGUCAGGUAGAGAAUACCAAGGCGCUUGAGAGAACUCGGGUGAAGGAACUAGGCAAAAUGGUGCCGUAACUUCGGGAGAAGGCACGCUGAUAUGUAGGUGAAGUCCCUCGCGGAUGGAGCUGAAAUCAGUCGAAGAUACCAGCUGGCUGCAACUGUUUAUUAAAAACACAGCACUGUGCAAACACGAAAGUGGACGUAUACGGUGUGACGCCUGCCCGGUGC